rnacentral:rRNA from 1 species
GCAUAUCAAUAAGCGGAGGAAAAGAAACCAACAGGGAUUGCCUUAGUAACGGCGAGUGAAGCGGCAACAGCUCAAAUUUGAAAGCUGGCUCCUUCGGAGUCCGCAUUGUAAUUUGUAGAGGAUGAUUCGGCGAGGGCUCCCGCCUAAGUCCACUGGAACGUGGCGUCAUAGAGGGUGAGAAUCCCGUAUGCGGUGGGUUGCCUUAGCCAUGUGAAUCUCCUUCGACGAGUCGAGUUGUUUGGGAAUGCAGCUCUAAAUGGGAGGUAAAUUUCUUCUAAAGCUAAAUACCGGCCAGAGACCGAUAGCGCACAAGUAGAGUGAUCGAAAGAUGAAAAGCACUUUGGAAAGAGAGUUAAAAAGUACGUGAAAUUGUUGAAAGGGAAGGGCUUGCAACCAGACUUGUCCGCAGUUGCUCAGCCGGUCUCCUGACCGGCGUACUCUUCUGCGGCCAGGCCAGCAUCAGUUCGGGCGGUCGGAUAAAGACCUAGGGAAUGUAGCUCCUCUCGGGGAGUGUUAUAGCCCUGGGUGGAAUGCGGCCAGCCUGGACUGAGGAUCUCGCUUCGGCUAGGAUGCUGGCGUAAUGGUUGUAAGCCGCCCGUCUUGAAACACGGACCAAGGAGUCUAACAUCUAUGCGAGUGUUUGGGUGUCAAACCCAUACGCGUAAUGAAAGUGAACGGAGGUGGGAACCCGCAAGGGCGCACCAUCGGCCGAUCCUGAUGUCUUCGGAUGGAUUUGAGCAAGAGCAUAGCUGUUGGGACCCGAAAGAUGGUGAACUAUGCCUGAAUAGGGUGAAGCCAGAGGAAACUCUGGUGGAGGCUCGCAGCGGUUCUGACGUGCAAAUCGAUCGUCAAAUUU